rnacentral:rRNA from 1 species
UACGUAGGGGGCAAGCGUUGUCCGGAAUCAUUGGGCGUAAAGAGCGUGUAGGCGCCAGAAAAGUCCGCUGUGAAAACUCGAGGCUCAACUUCGAGCUGUCGGUGGAAACUUUCUGGCUAGAGUCCGGAAGAGGAGAAUGGAAUUCCUGGUGUAGCGGUGAAAUGCGCAGAUAUCAGGAAGAACACCCGUGGCGAAGGCGGUUCUCUGGGGCGGUACUGACGCUGAGACGCGAAAGCGUGGGGAGCGAACAGG